CGAGGACCUGCUGAACCCGGCUGCCUGCCACAGCAGCAGAACCUGUGCAACCCCCUGGGUGGGAGCUGGACCCCCGGCAUGAAGCACCUCUCCUGCGGGCCCUCGGCAGCCAUCACUGUGCUCUUCUGCACCGCCGUGCUCUGGUAUUCCUGCUCAGCGGCAGCUCAAGAGGUCUCCAAUGCUUCAACAAGCUCAAUGCUUGCAACUGAGUACGAAACACCAUGUCUUAAUGUGAACAUCUGCACGCAAGCAGCCAUGUGCUGCCAGACUGGCAUGGAUGAUUAUGGAUGGAUUGCAGCGGCCGUUGGCUGGAGCCUCUGGUUUCUGACUCUCAUCCUGCUCUGUGUGGACAAGGCCAUGAAACUCCGGCCUGACGAACCCAAAUAUUUGGUGGCCUGAAGCAGGGCAAGCCAGCAAGCAGCAGCAUCUGGAGCAGUGAAGUGCAGACAGAAUGACAAAGCAUUUCAAUCACUUAAGAAACAAAACAGAAAUAGAAUGUACCUACAGCCAAAAAUGGCCAAAUCUAACCAGGCCAUCUGCUGGGGUUUCAUCCUUUCUGGCAGGUCAGAGCUGCUGGCCAAGGUGUGGAGCAGGUGCAUCCCUGUGAGCCACCACCUGUAUCCCACAUUGCACAGAAAACCUUUUCCCCAAGACCUUUCAUGCUUGCUGUGAUUGUGCUAGCAGAAUGAGGUCCUAAAGGACCAGUUACUAGUCUAUAGCAUGUUGCCAUAAGACAACCCAGUACAUGACCUUUGGCUUUGAAACAGAAAGUGAGCAAAUAAAGCUAUUUGCUGGAGGAUCA
rnacentral:lncRNA from 14 species